rnacentral:lncRNA from 1 species
GAGGGGAGCACCAUAAUCAAUGGAGUCAAGAACACACCAUGUCCAGCAAUGAAGGACCUCUCAAUCAAGAUUACACAUAUCGAACUCAGGUGGUGUCCUUCCUUGUUACAUUUUUAUUUUAGCUUUAUUAUGAUUUUCUUCUUCCAUUGGAGAUAAUAAAAAUUAAGUUGGAGGGGAGAAUAACUAAUUUAAUUAAGUC